rnacentral:rRNA from 1 species
UACGUAGGGGGCAAGCGUUGUCCGGAAUCAUUGGGCGUAAAGCGCACGUAGGUGGCGACGUAAGUCGGGUGUGAAAGCCCCGGGCUCAACCUGGGAAUUGCAUUCGAGACUGCAUUGCUGGAGUACGGAAGAGGAAAGCGGAAUUCCCGGUGUAGCGGUGAAAUGCGUAGAUAUUCGGAAGAACACCAGUGGCGAAGGCGGCUCACUGGCCCGUUACCGACGCUCAGGCGCGACAGCGUGGGGAGCAAACAGG